GCGCCCUUAGCUCAGCUGGAUAGAGCGUCUGGCUACGAACCAGGAGGUCGCACGUUCGAAUCGUGCAGGGCGCACCA
rnacentral:tRNA from 5 species